rnacentral:rRNA from 1 species
GACGAACGCUGGCGGCGUGCUUAACACAUGCAAGUCGAACGAUGAAGCCGGAGCUUGCUCUGGUGAAUUAGUGGCGAACGGGUGAGUAACACGUGAGUAACCUGCCCUUGACUCUGGGAUAACUGCGGGAAACUGUAGCUAAUACCGGAUACGACCCUCGGAGGCAUCUCCUGGGGGUGGAAAGAAUUUCGGUCAAGGAUGGACUCGCGGCCUAUCAGCUAGUUGGUGAGGUAAAGGCUCACCAAGGCGACGACGGGUAGCCGGCCUGAGAGGGUAACCGGCCACACUGGGACUGAGACACGGCCCAGACUCCUACGGGAGGCAGCAGUGGGGAAUAUUGCACAAUGGGCGCAAGCCUGACGCAGCAACGCCGCGUGAGGGAUGACGGCCUUCGGGUUGUAAACCUCUUUUAGCAGGGAAGAAGCGAAAGUGACGGUACCUGCAGAAAAAGCACCGGCUAACUACGUGCCAGCAGCCGCGGUAA